rnacentral:lncRNA from 1 species
UCUAACAAAUUUAUUUUUCUUCUGUUUGUGUCCCAAUAACGCCGCACAUGGUUCGCUCCAAGGAAAUGCGAUAUGUUGCCAUUGAUCUUGUGCACAAUCAAACAAUUGAAUGUAGCGUAUAAUCGCCGCAUUCGCUUCCCUAAAACAACAAUUCACUUUUAUCUAGUAUCUUAUACAUAAGAAUUAUAUUUUCCAACAAGUAACUUCACAUUUAAGGAGAAUUUAACAAAGGUGACAAAUCCAGCUGGCUCUCUAAUCUCAUUAUUCCGCAAAAGUUUACUUUUGUCCUGCGUGGCCCCAAGACAUUUUUCUAUGGCUGAAACUGGGCCUCGACCACGCCUCGGUGGGUGAGUGUGUCCAUCACACAAAAAUAAUAAUAAGAAAUGGUACCAAAUGAACCAUUAUUUGAAACUGCUGGUUCCACACGAGGUAAGAUUUGUACAUUCGUCAUGCAAUGAAAAAUAAGAUAUAGAGUCCCAUUUGACUUGUUAAAAAGACAAAUAGGAUUGAAGGGGCGUGAUGGCUAGUAAUUAAGAUCCACAGAUAAACUCCUGCCAUCCAUCACUUUAAAAGGUGUAUCGUUUACUCGGUGCUCUCAUCCCAUAUAUUCAAUAUUGAACAUUAACUAGUGGGGACAGGGCCUAUAGCCCCGGUCCGUAAGGGGCUUUAGUCCCGGUUCACGAACCGGGACUAAAGGGGCGGGACUAAAGGCCUAACCUUUUUGUCCCGGUCCUCUUACACGCCGGGACUAAAGGUGCUCCACGUGGGCGCCUCGUAGCGCCUCAGGGACAGGCCCUUUAGUCCCGGCUCGUUACACGGACUGGGACUAAAGAUUUUCAGAUUUUGCUGGUUUUUGGCUUCUUUUUUUUUAAUGAAAUUAUUUUUGGGUUUUAGGGUUUUAGGGUUUAGGUGUUCGGGAGAUUAACGUGAUGCCUCGUUUGGUGUUCGGGAAUUAGUUUUCAUAUAAUUUAAGAUAGAAAUAAUUAUGCAUAUAUAUAUAUAUAUAUAAUUAACUUAUCUUACAAGCGAGCAUAUAUAUACAAUUAUAUGGAGAUCUGAAUUAUCGGGACUAGAGCCCGUCUAUUCGAUUACAUGGACGGGCAUCAGUAAUGGUCUCGCAAACGUAGUAUCCGCAUAGAUGCGUUCCCCGUGGCUGCUGGUCGCACUUUACGAGAAUAGAAUAUAUAUAAUCAAAAUAAUAAUCUAGCAUCAUAAAUGUAUUAAAAAUUAAUAAAAGUAUAUCAUACUACUACUUACCUGAGCCGCUUUAAAGGUCAGCUUCUCAUGAAAGUUAACGGGAGUCACGCACUUGAACCGCUUUCAAACCCUGCCCGACAAGGAUAAUGAUUUGCUCAGUUUUUUAUUAAUUGAUAUAUCAGAAAAUCAUCGAAAGAGACCGAUAGAGCGCAAGAAUGAUUAAAAUUACCCUUGGAGCAUGUCAUGCAGGCUUUGAAACUGUUUCAAGGGUCUCGAUAAUGGGUCGAAGGCAUCAACUCUUCCCUUAUCAAUUUGAAUGUCCAACAGAAUCCAAUGAAAGCUGCACAUGUAUAUAUAUAUAAGUGUCAGUAACUUAUCAAUUACACUUAUAAGUGAAUGGACACAACAGAGUAAAGACCCUCACCUGAAGUUGUAUGGAAACAGUAUGUGGUCACAGAAAUUUUGAUCUAUUAGAAACCUUAGAAGGUUUUCCUCCGUCUCCUUGGGAUAAUUAGUUAGCGUCGCUAUAUGUAUUUUAUCUGGGUCAAUAAACCCAAUAUUUAGGAUGCACUUACUUUUACAAUACAGAAUCUUCAUUCUGCAUAAUAGAGUACAAGUUAUAUAUAGACAAUGAAUUGAAAUAACUAAACAAGUUAUAUGUAGACAACGAAUUGAAAAACUUACAGACAAUAGCAACUCAUUAGCGAUUUGUCGAGGGCGUCGCCAUUGUACAUCUGGAAGAGUUCAUCAAAGUCGAUAUGGAUUUGUUCAGGGCGGCCGUAGUACUCCUUGGGGACACUCAGCACGAUCAUCGUUCUCCCAUUCUUUGAUUCACUUAAGUACCAUUGAUGCAAGUAACGCAUAUUUGUUGGGAGAUCAUCUUUGCUGACCAAAGGCUCACCCAAGACAAACUGUGGCUUAGGGGCUAUCACAGCCUUGGGUAUCUUGUCGUCUUGGAAAGACAGCAAUUCUUCAACCGAGACACCACAUGCAGCCGCCAACUUCUUUGCACUUUCUAAACCUAGACCCUGCAUCGAAGGGGGAACAUUCUCGGUUAACACCUUAAGGGGUGGGAUCGACUGUUUGGCCUGUUGUCGAAGCUGAGGAACGUCUGAUUUUUUUUUGCUUGUAGUUGAACUUGAUUUGCUCCCACUUACACUUGCACGUGAUCUGCUCUUUUUCACUUCCAAUAUAGCUAAUACACCACGCGUAAUACUGAGCUCAAACUCUAGAGAUUGUUCUUCCAAUAUAGCUAGUACACCGAUUAUAAAAUAGCAGACCAAUGUGUUUGGGGAGGCGCCAAAUGGAAUUUCCAUCUAUAGGAAUAGGAGGCAUGUGGAAGUUGGCAAGAUCAAUGUGACAACACUGAUCAGGCAUGUAAAUCUAUCCUGAUCCCAUAUAACAAUAUCGCAGAGUGUUGCUCGUUUUGUGAUGCUGGUUGGACCAUAGAGCUAGCUGUCCCAAGAAUCUUAGAAGCUGGUGUUCUGGUAUCUAGUGUAGGUGCAACCACACCAGUAAAUAAUCCAUCUAAUAAGUUAACUUCAGUUACACAGGCUCUGUCCAUGCUGUGAAUCUCUCCGAAUAAUAACAAUACAAAUCACAUAAACCUUUGAUGGAGACCGUCCCUGUUCGAAACUUCUAUAUCCACAUGUUGGUUGAACUGUGCUCCCAUGUUACGUUCCAGUCCACCACACCUCUCUACACAACCAUCUUGGCUUUGGUACUCUGUUUACACCCAUGGCUGCCUAGUUCCUUUAAGAUUCACGGGCACUCCAUGUACAAGGCAGAUGAGAAGAUCUCUCAUAGAAUUAGUGUUGGUUAUAUAAUAGGGCUAACAUUUAACAUACAGGUAUUUGUUUAAGAAACCGCUACAUUUUUGCAUACGUAUACUCAACACAGAGUGCUAAAUAAAGUUAACAUUGACUAAUCAAUUUAUGUUUGCACCUAUAAAUGUUGAACUCCACUUCCACAUACUAGAAAUGCAAAGUAGCUCAAGGAUUUCAAAUAAACAAACAAUAGAGAAGAUUGAGUAUUGCGAACACAACGUACAAUAAUGUGUUAGAUCUCAUGAUGAAGUGAGAAGUGGGCUAUGAUGAAGCCAGAAGGGCCACCUUCCAACGACACCAUAAAUAUCGGCAUAGCACACAUGGUUUCUCCUUACGGCGUGGGGAUGUACAAUCUCCAUGAUGCAGAGGCGAGAGACGUCAUCGCAAGAUUGGAUUCAAUCGUCUCCUCUCGGUUGCUAAGGCACGGCAUUGCUAGCUGUGGAAGAGUUAUGGGCGUACGAAAUUACGAAUCCAUGUGGCAUUGCUUCCAUGGGCAUCAUCUAAUAGGAGUUAGGAGGGUUGAUGGAAGUGUGGGGCAAUAGCCUGACCGAGGGCGUAGCACGUCCGGUUGAUCGAAAUCUACUAUACACGAGUGAGGGUACUGAUAGCUCCCGUGAGAAGUGAGAACCUAAUCUGGACUUUGAAGAGAAAACCUAGCCCCCACAUCUCCCUGUGUGGGUAACUCUCAUGGCGACAUCAUACCCCCUUCCUCUUUCCUCCUCCAAUCCGACCACGCCCCAGCCGCUGGUCGGAGCCACCGAAGCAAUGUCUCUCAUGGUGGCUGGCGGCAGGGCCUCUUUCUCCUCUGCUUAGGGCACCCGAUGUGUGGUGGCUUGGCCGGCGGUAGCAUCGGGCACGAGCAUUGUCGGGCGGCAUGCCGAAUGUGGCUCACGGAAGAACUUUUCUCAUGUAGAGCGACCAAUAACAAGGUGGGUGGUUACUCACAGUGUUGUGGUUGCGCGCACGUAGUAGCUAUUGUGGCUCAGAUCUGGACCACUAGAUGCCUCGGGAAGCUCUAGGGCGUCUUCACUGGUCUGGAUCCGGCACACCUGUUGUGAGCAUGACCGCCAAUUGGUUGGCUGCUGGUGGGUGUCGCGAGCUGGACAGGGGGUUGGAGGGGAUGAAACCCCUACCAAUGACAACCUUGCUUUGAAUAGAGGGUGUUGGGGAGGCUCCGGAUUGGAGUUGACGGGCUCAUCGGUCACGUGAUCGGUGUGGUGCGGCUCCGUGGUGGUGAGAGGGGUUUGUCGACUACUAGGUAGAGAAGACCCACUUGUCCGUGCUGGUUCCAGCCACCAUGUUGUGCACCCCUGCCUUGUGAUUCCUUCUUGAUGUCGGUACAAAUUGAGCUCCCGGGAGCGCCCAUGCUGUCGAUGGCCAUUGUCAUGGCGGUAUGCAAGCUCGCUUAGGACAUGGCCAGACGUGUAAGGUCGGGAAUCGCUUAGUGUUGGUCGUUAGAAGACACCGUGUCCUCUCUUCCACCAAGAUCGUUUGAUGACGCGGUGGAUGUUGACCGAGACCCGAUGACCGAUGUCGGGCGAGAAGUGGAAGGAGGUGCCUUCCACUCUUCCUAAUGUGGUUGGUGUGCGGUAAUGCAGAUGCUUGGUAGUGUAUUGGGGCAUAGAUGCCAGGGCGGCAACCCAGGGAUGACGCUCCGUGUGGUUGGCUCUUCGAUAGGCACCAUGGAAGUAGUGGUGGCUUUGCCUCUUGGUUGCCUAGGCGAUGAGGAGGGCAUAACGGCGUGUGGCUCUGGCUCGCUCUCUAUCGUUGGUAGUGGCAACGCCCAAAUCCGGAUACAAGGACUUGUGUUCUUCGCGGUUGUUGUGGUACCUCGUGGUGGCAUGAGUAAGCGGCCAAGCGAAAACUCUGCACUUUGGCACUAACGAUGGCGAUACUCGUGGGUGUCUCUUUCCUCAUGAUGACGUCGUUGUGGUUUUGCUCUCCAUGCCAGGGUUCCAAGUGAAGACCUAGGUCCAUCUCGGGCUCGUCAGUGGCGACGCCUAGCAUCAUUCCACCUGAUGAGGGCUUUGUUGUGAUGUUAUCGUGUACAUUUGUGUUGUUCAGUUAUCCUCGGAUAUGCUUUGUAAGGGGGGCUCCUUACUACUCUAUAUC